rnacentral:rRNA from 1 species
AUUGAACGCUGGCGGCAGGCCUAACACAUGCAAGUCGAACGAGUGGCGGACGGGUGAGUAAUGUCUGGGAAACUGCCUGAUGGAGGGGGAUAACUACUGGAAACGGUAGCUAAUACCGCAUACCAUCGGAUGUGCCCAGAUGGGAUUAGCUGGUUGGUGGGGUAACGGCUCACCAAGGCGACGAUCCCUAGCUGGUCUGAGAGGAUGACCAGCCACACUGGAACUGAGACACGGUCCAGACUCCUACGGGAGGCAGCAGUGGGGAAUAUUGCACAAUGGUCGCAAGCCUGAUGCAGCCAUGCCGCGUGUAUGAAGAAGGCCUUCGGGUUGUAAAGUACUUUCAGCGGGGAGGCGUUACUCGCAGAAGAAGCACCGGCUAACUCCGUGCCAGCAGCCGCGGUAAUAC